rnacentral:rRNA from 1 species
GGAGAGUUUGAUCCUGGCUCAGAUUGAACGCUGGCGGCAUGCCUUACACAUGCAAGUCGAACGGCAGCACGGGAGCAAUCCUGGUGGCGAGUGGCGAACGGGUGAGUAAUAUAUCGGAACGUGCCCAGUCGUGGGGGAUAACGCAGCGAAAGCUGUGCUAAUACCGCAUACGAUCUAUGGAUAAAAGCGGGGGAUCGCAAGACCUCGCGCGAUUGGAGCGGCCGAUAUCAGAUUAGGUAGUUGGUGGGGUAAAGGCUCACCAAGCCGACGAUCUGUAGCUGGUCUGAGAGGACGACCAGCCACACUGGAACUGAGACACGGUCCAGACUCCUACGGGAGGCAGCAGUGGGGAAUUUUGGACAAUGGGCGCAAGCCUGAUCCAGCAAUGCCGCGUGCAGGAUGAAGGCCUUCGGGUUGUAAACUGCUUUUGUACGGAACGAAAAGGCUCUGGUUAAUACCUGGGGCCCAUGACGGUACCGUAAGAAUAAGCACCGGCUAACUACGUGCCAGCAGCCGCGGUAAUACGUAGGGUGCGAGCGUUAAUCGGAAUUACUGGGCGUAAAGCGUGCGCAGGCGGUAAUGCAAGACAGAUGUGAAAUCCCCGGGCUUAACCUGGGAACUGCAUUUGUGACUGCAUUGCUGGAGUGCGGCAGAGGGGGAUGGAAUUCCGCGUGUAGCAGUGAAAUGCGUAGAUAUGCGGAGGAACACCGAUGGCGAAGGC